UACAGAGGUGGCAAGCGUUGUUCGGAAUUACUGGGCGUAAAGGGCGCGUAGGCGGCUUGGUCAGUCCCGUGUGAAAUCCCUCGGCUCAACUGAGGAACUGCACGGGAAACUGCCUGGCUUGAGUUCGGGAGAGGGAAGCGGAAUUCCGGGUGUAGCGGUGAAAUGCGUAGAUAUCCGGAGGAACACCGAUGGCGAAGGCGGCUUCCUGGACCGACACUGACGCUGAGGCGCGAAAGCUAGGGGAGCAAACGGG
rnacentral:rRNA from 1 species